rnacentral:rRNA from 1 species
CUAGCGGCGGACGGGUGAGUAACGCGUGGGAACGUGCCCUUUGCUACGGAAUAGCCUCUGGAAACGGAGAGUAAUACCGUAUGUGCCCUUCGGGGGAAAGAUUUAUCGGCAAAGGAUCGGCCCGCGUUGGAUUAGGUAGUUGGUGGGGUAAUGGCCCACCAAGCCGACGAUCCAUAGCUGGUUUGAGAGGAUGAUCAGCCACACUGGGACUGAGACACGGCCCAGACUCCUACGGGAGGCAGCAGUGGGGAAUCUUAGACAAUGGGGGCAACCCUGAUCUAGCCAUGCCGCGUGAGUGAUGAAGGCCUUAGGGUUGUAAAGCUCUUUCAGCUGGGAAGAUAAUGACGGUACCAGCAGAAGAAGCCCCGGCUAACUCCGUGCCAGCAGCCGCGGUAAUACGGAGGGGGCUAGCGUUGUUCGGAAUUACUGGGCGUAAAGCGCACGUAGGCGGACUGGAAAGUUGGGGGGUGAAAUCCCGGGGCUCAACCUCGGAACUGCCUU